rnacentral:rRNA from 1 species
AAUGAACGCUGGCGGCAGGCCUAACACAUGCAAGUCGAACGGAUCCUUCGGGAUUAGUGGCGGACGGGUGAGUAACGCGUGGGAACAUACCCUUUGGUACGGAAUAGCCUCGGGAAACUGGGAGUAAUACCGUAUGUGGUCGAGAGACGAAAGAUUUAUCGCCAAAGGAUUGGCCCGCGUUGGAUUAGGUAGUUGGUGGGGUAAUGGCCUACCAAGCCGACGAUCCAUAGCUGGUUUGAGAGGAUGAUCAGCCACACUGGGACUGAGACACUGGCCAGACACCUACGGGUGGCUGCAGUCGAGGAUCUUCGUCAAUGGGCGCAAGCCUGAACGAGCGACACCGCGUGCGCGAUGAAGGCCUUCGGGUUGUAAAGCGCGAAAGUGGAGAGAAAGGGAAACUUGAUCAAUCCACAGUAAGGACGGGCUAAGUUCGUGCCAGCAGCCGCAGUAACAC